AUGCGAUUUCAUUAGUGCGACAAGGUCGGCAUGUCCUUGGGCGCUUGUCGGGCUUUCUGUGUUGCCCACCUAUUUGAUGGUAUUGUGUUGUUCCAUUGAUAUUCGUUUUCAUCGUACGCCACUUAUGUGGCUUGUGGUGAACCUCAAACCAUUCCCUUCCAUCCGUCUUGUUGGCGCUUGUGCGUCUUUGACACGGCUUGUGGGGCACGGUUUGUUUUCUUGUAUACAGAACGGUUGUGGGUAUGUGGUUUUUAUGGGCAUGUGUUUGCCCUUUUCAAGCGUUCUUGUUUCUACAAAACAACCCACAGGCAUGCGUUGAUUUUUCAAUGUUUGGGUGUUGAUGUCUAAA
rnacentral:misc_RNA from 1 species